UUUAAUGGGGUGUUUUACGCAUAAUACAUUUUGGUUGUAUAGGUGGCUAGUCGCUCAUUAAUU
rnacentral:tRNA from 1 species